UGGCGGACGGGUGAGUAACGCGUAGGGAUCUAUCCGAGGGUGGGGGACAACCGUGGGAAACUACGGCUAAUACCGCAUGACGCCUGGGGGCCAAAGCUCGUGAGGGCGCCUUCGGAGGAGCCUGCGUCCGAUUAGCUUGUUGGUGGGGUAACGGCCUACCAAGGCGAUGAUCGGUAGCUGGUCUGAGAGGAUGAUCAGCCACACUGGGACUGAGACACGGCCCAG
rnacentral:rRNA from 1 species